CGGNCUUAGAGUUUGAUCCUGGCUCAGAUUGANCGCUGGCGGAAUGCUUUNCACAUGCAAGUCGACGGCAGCNCGGGAGCUUGCUCCUGGUGGCGAGUGGCGAACGGGUGAGUAACAUAUCGGAACGUAUCCAAUAAUGGGGGAUANCUGGUCGAAAGACUUGCUAAUACCGCAUACGCCCUGAGGGGGAAAGUGGGGGAUCGCAAGACCUCACGUUAAUGGAGCGGCCGAUAUCUGAUUAGCUAGUUGGUGGGGUAAAGGCCCACCAAGGCGACGAUCAGUAGCUGGUCUGAGAGGACGACCAGCCACACUGGAACUGAGACACGGUCCAGACUCCUACGGGAGGCAGCAGUGGGGAAUUUUGGACAAUGGGCGCAAGCCUGAUCCAGCCAUUCCGCGUGAGUGAAGAAGGCCUUCGGGUUGUAAAGCUCUUUCGCAAGGGAAGAAACGAUACAGCAUAAUAGNUCUGUGUUAAU
rnacentral:rRNA from 1 species